UGCGCAGGCGGACACGUCAGUGUCUUGUGAAAUCCCACGGCUCAACCGUGGAACUGCAGGGCAUACUGCGUGUCUUGAGGCGGGUAGGGGCUGCCGGAACUCUAGGUGUAGCGGUGAAAUGCGUAGAUAUCUAGAGGAACGCCAAAGGCGAAGGCAGGCAGCUGGGCCCGUUCUGACGCUCAGGCACGAAAGCGUGGGGAGCAAACAGGAUUAGAUACCCUGGUAGUCC
rnacentral:rRNA from 1 species